GGAGAUAUAGUUCAAUGGUAAAAGCUCAUGCUUAGUCUGCGUGAGGUCCUGGGUUCAAUCCCCAGUACCUCCA
rnacentral:tRNA from 1 species